rnacentral:lncRNA from 1 species
UCAAGUUUUCUCUCAUUUUCAAUGAGGUUCUCUGAGGCAGGAUGCCUCGUUUUGUGCCAGUUGUGCGCCUGUCCUUACCCUAUCCAGGUCGGGAUGGCUUUUCCCUCUCCCUCGCCUUCUCCGCUAGGUGAGAUUUGUACAUAGUUUUGGUGGUUUCGGUUUUGCGUUCAGUGGUUUAUUGGAAGGGAGUGGUUUUUGGCCUGUCAUAUGUUGGUGCAAGUGGUUGUUUUCUCUUGUUUUUGUAGGUUUUGUAGCUCUAGAUCUACAAGCAAAAGGAGUCUGAUGGAGAUAUGAAGGCGGGAGGUGUUCUCUGUUUCUUGUUUGAAGCGGUACCCUCUCCCUUCUUUGUCUGUUUUGUAGAUCUUGUAGAGAUGGUUGACCUGACUUGAUUGAGGAAGAAUGACUUCUCUUUUUGUAGAGUUAGAUGCCUUUCUUCGUCUGACUCGGUGCAUGUGCUUCUCUAUUCUUUGCGUCUUUUGGUUUUCUCUAUUCUUUGCGUCUUUUGGUUUUCUCUGUUCUUUGCGUUGCGUCUUUUGGUUUUGGUUGACUUGCAUUUCUUUGGCACUAGUGGUUCUGAACUCCUUGGGCUUCAUCUGGAUGUUUAACUCUUCGAUUUUCAUGGNNN